rnacentral:lncRNA from 1 species
CAGCAACACAUGCCUACGUUUGUGUUUCUCUCUCAGGCUGUCUCUGUUUCUGGCUCAUGUUGGUUCAAAAUAUGCUGCAUACUUUUCAGGUGAUUCCCAACACAUUCCAUGUGCCACCUUUUGAAGACGAGGUGAAACCAAUAUUUUGGAGGAGGGGAGAUGUUCUGCGCUGGGUUCUGAGACAUGCUGACUUGUGAUUGUGGUUUGGCAUGUAUGGAGCUAUCCAGCAACCUCAUCUUUGAGCAGUUCAUCAG